rnacentral:tRNA from 1 species
AGGGGGGAACGUUCCUCCCAGGACUAU